CGAGGACCUGGUGAAGUUCGUCGCGGGGGCCAAGCCCAUCCACGACGGAGACCCGGUGGCGGCGCCGGUGCCGCCACCCGCGGUCUUCGG
rnacentral:tRNA from 1 species